GACGAACGCUGGCGGCGCGCCUAACACAUGCAAGUCGAACGAGCGAGAGAGAGCUUGCUUUCUCGAGCGAGUGGCGAACGGGUGAGUAACGCGUGAGGAACCUGCCUCAAAGAGGGGGACAACAGUUGGAAACGACUGCUAAUACCGCAUAAGCCCACGGCUCGGCAUCGAGCAGAGGGAAAAGGAGCAAUCCGCUUUGAGAUGGCCUCGCGUCCGAUUAGCUAGUUGGUGAGGUAACGGCCCACCAAGGCAACGAUCGGUAGCCGGACUGAGAGGUUGAACGGCCACAUUGGGACUGAGACACGGCCCAGACUCCUACGGGAGGCAGCAGUGGGGAAUAUUGCACAAUGGGGGAAACCCUGAUGCAGCGACGCCGCGUGGAGGAAGAAGGUCUUCGGAUUGUAAACUCCUGUUGUUGAGGAAGAUAAUGACGGUACUCAACAAGGAAGUGACGGCUAACUACGUGCCAGCAGCCGCGGUAAAACGUAGGUCACAAGCGUUGUCCGGAAUUACUGGGUGUAAAGGGAGCGCAGGCGGGAAGGCAAGUUGGAAGUGAAAUCCAUGGGCUCAACCCAUGAACUGCUUUCAAAACUGUUUUUCUUGAGUAGUGCAGAGGUAGGCGGAAUUCCCGGUGUAGCGGUGGAAUGCGUAGAUAUCGGGAGGAACACCAGUGGCGAAGGCGGCCUACUGGGCACCAACUGACGCUGAGGCUCGAAAGUGUGGGUAGCAAACAGGAUUAGAUACCCUGGUAGUCCACACUGUAAACGAUGAUUACUAGGUGUUGGAGGAGUGACCCCCUCAGUGCCGCAGCUAACACAAUAAGUAAUCCACCUGGGGAGUACGACCGCAAGGUUGAAACUCAAAGGAAAAGACGGGGGCCCGCACAAGCAGUGGAGUAUGUGGUUUAAUUCGACGCAACGCGAAGGACCUUACCAAGUCUUGACAUCCUGCGACGGUUCUGGAAACAGAACUUUCCUUCGGGACGCAGAGACAGGUGGUGCAUGGUUGUCGUCAGCUCGUGUCGUGAGAUGUUGGGUUAAGUCCCGCAACGAGCGCAACCCUUAUGGUCAGUUACUACGCAAGAGGACUCUGGCCAGACUGCCGUUGACAAAACGGAGGAAGGUGGGGAGGACGUCAAAUCAUCAUGCCCCUUAUGACUUGGGCUACACACGUACUACAAUGGCGUUAAACAAAGAGAAGCAAGACCGCGAGGUGGAGCAAAACUCAGAAACAACGUCCCAGUUCGGACUGCAGGCUGCAACUCGCCUGCACGAAGUCGGAAUUGCUAGUAAUCGCAGAUCAGCAUGCUGCGGCG
rnacentral:rRNA from 1 species